rnacentral:rRNA from 1 species
GAGUAAUGUCUGGGAAACUGCCUGAUGGAGGGGGAUAACUACUGGAAACGGUAGCUAAUACCGCAUAACGUCGCAAGACCAAAGAGGGGGACCUUCGGGCCUCUUGCCAUCGGAUGUGCCCAGAUGGGAUUAGCUAGUAGGUGGGGUAACGGCUCACCUAGGCGACGAUCCCUAGCUGGUCUGAGAGGAUGACCAGCCACACUGGAACUGAGACACGGUCCAGACUCCUACGGGAGGCAGCAGUGGGGAAUAUUGCACAAUGGGCGCAAGCCUGAUGCAGCCAUGCCGCGUGUAUGAAGAAGGCCUUCGGGUUGUAAAGUACUUUCAGCGGGGAGGAAGGGAGUAAAGUUAAUACCUUUGCUCAUUGACGUUACCCGCAGAAGAAGCACCGGCUAACUCCGUG